AUGUGCUGUGACAAUUGUGCUCAGUGAUUGAAGUGACACCCAGGUCAUAUAUACCCAGGCCAGCUUUCCUGAGACUUGAGGACCAACUUGACAUGAAUCCUAGGCUUCUGCUUAUCUUUGAUGCCUCACUGUGAGUAGUAGACCUGCUUUAUGUAACUUGUGUGAUUGUUUUGUCUCAUCAGAUUUAUGCAAUUGGGAGAGAUACUGGGGUUCCUCUUUGGCUCCUCUCUACUGUCUUCAUUAUGUUAGAAUGACUGCAGCAGCCAGGUCUACUCUAAGCCCCCACUAAACUUAUGAACCUUUGCAAGAAGCUACUGGGAUAAGUGACUUUUGCAAAAUUUCAAGAUAUGACAUCAAUAUACAAAUAUCAAUUAUACUAUAUCUUUAACAAUAAAUAGCAAGAAAAUUGAUUUAAAAGUAAUAUUUUCAUAGAAUAAAAAUAGAAUUUGCUUUGAGACAGAUAUAACAGAAUAUACGCAAGAUCUGCACAUUUAAAACUAUGAAAAAUUGCUGACAGUAUUUAAAGAUCUAAAUAAAUAGUGAGAUUUUACCAUGGCACAGCUUGCAAGCACCCAAUAAUAAGAUACUAAUUUUCCCCACAUUUAUCAAUAGAUUCAGAACAAUUCCAAUCAAAACCUCAUCAGAAUUUUUUUAUAGAAAUUAAUGCUUCCAUUCUAAAAUUCAUAUGGAAAUGUUAAGUAUCUUGAAUAAUUGAAAUAUCUUGGGGAAAAGUAACCAAAUUGUAGGCUAGCAGUACCUAAUUUCAGGACCCAGAAAGCAAUACUCAGUAAGAGGAUAUAGUUUUGACUUAAACAUAGACGAGUAGGUCAAAGGAAUAGAAUAGAGAAUCCAUAAAUAGGCCCGUAUAUAUAUGGACAACUUAUUUUUGAAAAUGUUGUAAGGGCAAUUCAGUAGGAAAAGGUAAUUAUUCUCCACAAAUGGUGCUGGAACAACUAAAAGUCUGUAUAUAUAAAAAGAACUGAAAUUUGUACCUUCCACUAUAUAUAAAAAUUAACUCUAAAUGCAUCAUAGUUGUAAAUGCCAAAGCUAAAACUAUAAAACUUGUGAGAUAAAAUUGUAAAAGGAGCAUAUUUUACCUUGAUUUAUGCAAAGAUUCCUUACAUAUAGCAGCAAAAGCAUAGUUCAUUAUAGAAAACAUUGAUGAAAUGAACUUUCUCAACAUAAAAACUUCUUCUUUUACAAAGUAAACAAAAAGAUGAGCCAGAGACUGGAAGGAAAUACUUGCUAAGCAUAUUUUCUGUAUCCAGAAUAUAUAGGCAAACUCUCAAAACUCACCAAAAAAUUUUUUGAAAAUGGCCAUUGAAUUUGAAAAGACACUUUAAAAAAGAUUAAUAAUAGCAAAAAGCACAUGAAAAGAUAUUCGGUAUCAUUAGUCAUUAGGAAAAUGCAAAUUAAAACCACGAUGAGAUACAAGUUCACACAAUUGGAAUGGAUACAAUUAAAAACAUUGAUCAUUCCAAGUAUUGGCAGUGCUGCAGAGAAGCUGAAACUCUCAUAUCCUACUGGUGAGAAUGUAAAAUGCAACAACUAGGUUGGAAAAUAGUUUGGCAGUUUCCUAAAGUUAAACCUACACAUGCUAUAUUAUUUGGCCAUUCUGCUCUUAAAUGUUUACCUCUAAGGAAAGAAAGCUUAUGUGAACUGUGCACAUAUAUUCAUGGUAGCAUUAUUUUUAGUAACUGAAAUCCAGAAAAACAAUGCAAAUAUUAAUCAACAGGUAAAUGGAUAAACAAAUGGUGAUACAGUCAAUUCUUGUUAUUUUUGUACUCCAUAUCUAUGAAUCUGGCUAUGGGCUAAUUAUUUGUAACCCCAAAGUCAAUACUUGCAGAGCUUUCGUGGGCAUUUGUGUGUACGUGCAUGCACAGAACUGUGAAAAAUUUGAGUCACCCACCAAACACUUUCUCAUUGAAGGCAGAUGAUGCUCUUUCUUCUUGUUUCAACUUUCAUGUUGUCUCCUUUUAGCAGUAUAUUUAACAUAUACUAAACAGCAGUUUAGUGAUGUGCCUCAUAAAGUUGAUACGCUUAUUAAAUAAGCAUCAUUCAGGCAUGAGUGAUAGUGCUAUUGGCCAGGAGUUCAGUGUUAGUAAAUCAACAAUAUGUAUUUAAUAAGGUGUCCAUAAACAUAAACCCACAUAAAACAGGUUUAUGUAUUGAUUUGGUUGAGGUAAAUAUUGAAACCAAAAGCUGGCAGAAAAUGAUUCAGGAUUUAAUUAUUCCUUGUUUAUGGGAAUUUUACAGAAAAUAACUAACUUCAAAAAUGGGAAUCCACUGUAUACUCAUACAAUGGAAUACAACUUAGCAAUAAACCAGAAUGAAUUCUACACAUAAUAUAAACCUCCUAAUAAUUACACUGAGAGAACGAAGUCAGGGGAAAAUAAGUAUAUUUUAUGAUUCUAUUUAUAUAAAACCCCAGAAAAUGCAAACAAAUUGUGACGAAGCAGGUAAAUAGUUGCCUGUGGAAAAAGUGGGGGUGGGAAAAGAAGAAAGAGCUAUAUAAAGCGGUGAUGAAAAUAUUGCUAUCUUGAUUUGGAUGAUGGUUUUAUAGAUAUAAACAUGCAUAAAAGUGGCAAAUGUUAUGUUUUAAAUACGUAAAUAUAUAUAUACAUCAAUUUUUCUUCCAAAAACUUUUCUAAAUAUAGAUUGUUAACAAUGGCAUUAUGUAGUAACAAGAAAGAGAAUUAUGUAACUAUAUAAAGCCUAUAAGAUAAAAAGUUGAGGAUGUCUGUAUAAUAUGUGAAUGUAAUACACUAAGAAUAAAAUUUCUAACUCUUGUUGGAGUACAUUCUUUUGUGCUUAAUUAUUACCAGUUUUUAAUUUUGUUUCCCUCUUUUUAGUGUCCUGUCAUAUUAUCAAUUCUUCUUUGUUUCUUAGAUGUCCCCACUGAAGCAUAGAAUGUUCUUAAGCUUAAAAUAAUUUCUUCAUAAUUCAUCAUUAUGAUGCUUAUACUAAUUUGUUAAUUUUCAUGAAAAAUUGCAAUGUUAGCCACUAUGAUUAUAGCAUACAGAGUUAAAUUCCAUUGUUAGACAAGAAAAUUAAUAAAAUCUUUAUGCAUGCUUUUUCUCUUAUAUUUCUGAUCGUAAUAAAUAGCAAUAAUGACUUUUAUUUUCUUAAAAACACCACAGAGAUGCUAUUUAAUAGUAUAUUUCACCUCUCUUAAAUGUUAUUGGGUUGGUAGUUAAAUAUCACAUGUUGUUUAAAUGUCAAUAAAAGGGCUAUUUGAUUGAUUACCAGUUAUAACAAACUAAUUCUAUGAUGAUUCUUUAAUAAGAAUAUAUUUAGACACUAAUGUGUCAUUUUAUUAUUAUAUAUUAAUCAUUAUUAUACGGCUCGUGUUUGUUUGACUGUAUAUUUUUAAAUGAAGAAAAAUGUAACCAAAUUAUAAAUUAGGAAGUAUAACAUAUUUAGUGUACUUUUUGUCAGCAAGUGAACUACA
rnacentral:lncRNA from 10 species